CUGAUCUGAUUGCUUCCUUCUUAUCCUGAGAGUCGUCUUCUGAGUCAUCAUCAGAAGAUAAAGAAAUAAGAACACCAGCAAAAACAAAAACUUUGAGAUGUGUUUACUAUAACCAUAUAUACCAAUAACACAAGAACAUACAUAUCAUAUGUGUAAGGAGCUCGUAUUGUAGCAAAAGGAGAGCAACACAAAACAAAAGAAACCUAAUUUUGUUACCUUUCUUUAACGGCUUCAUGGCCUUAGUCACAGGAGUAUCUGCUUCAACCUAAUGAUAU
rnacentral:lncRNA from 1 species